GAUGAACGCUGGCGGCGUGCUUAACACAUGCAAGUCGAACGGAAAGGCCCAAGCUUGCUUGGGUACUCGAGUGGCGAACGGGUGAGUAACACGUGGGUGAUCUGCCCUGCACUUCGGGAUAAGCCUGGGAAACUGGGUCUAAUACCGGAUAGGACGAUGGUUUGGAUGCCAUUGUGGAAAGUUUUUUCGGUGUGGGAUGAGCUCGCGGCCUAUCAGCUUGUUGGUGGGGUAAUGGCCUACCAAGGCGUCGACGGGUAGCCGGCCUGAGAGGGUGUACGGCCACAUUGGGACUGAGAUACGGCCCAGACUCCUACGGGAGGCAGCAGUGGGGAAUAUUGGACAAUGGGCGCAAGCCUGAUGCAGCGACGCCGCGUGGGGGAUGACGGCCUUCGGGUUGUAAACUCCUUUCGCUAGGGACGAAGCGUUUUUGUGACGGUACCUGGAGAAGAAGCACCGGCUAACUACGUG
rnacentral:rRNA from 1 species